rnacentral:rRNA from 1 species
GAAAUAGCUUUAGGGCUAGCCUCAAGUGAUGAUUAUUGGAGGUAGAGCACUGUUUGGACGAGGGGCCCCUCUCGGGUUACCGAAUUCAGACAAACUCCGAAUGCCAAUUAAUUUAACUUGGGAGUCAGAACAUGGGUGAUAAGGUCCGUGUUCGAAAGGGAAACAGCCCAGACCACCAGCUAAGGUCCCAAAAUAUAUGUUAAGUGGAAAAGGAUGUGGCGUUGCCCAGACAACUAGGAUGUUGGCUUAGAAGCAGCCAUCAUUUAAAGAGUGCGUAAUAGCUCACUAGUCGAGUGACACUGCGCCGAAAAUGUACCGGGGCUAAACAUAUUACCGAAGCUGUGGAUUGUCCUUUGGACAAUGGUAGGAGAGCGUUCUAAGGGCGUUGAAGCAUGAUCGUAAGGACAUGUGGAGCGCUUAGAAGUGAGAAUGCCGGUGUGAGUAGCGAAAGACGGGUGAGAAUCCCGUCCACCGAUUGACUAAGGUUUCCAGAGGAAGGCUCGUCCGCUCUGGGUUAGUCGGGUCCUAAGCUGAGGCCGACAGGCGUAGGCGAUGGAUAACAGGUUGAUAUUCCUGUACCACCUAUAAUCGUUUUAAUCGAUGGGGGGACGCAGUAGGAUAGGCGAAGCGUGCGAUUGGAUUGCACGUCUAAGCAGUAAGGCUGAGUAUUAGGCAAAUCCGGUACUCGUUAAGGCUGAGC